rnacentral:rRNA from 1 species
GUUCCAGACUCCUACGGGAGGCAGCAGUGGGGGAUAUUGCACAAUGGGGGGAACCCUGAUGCAGCGACGCCGCGUGGGUGAAGAAGCGCCUCGGCGCGUAAAGCCCUGUCAGCAGGGAAGAAAAUGACGGUACCUGAUUAAGAAGCCCCGGCUAACUACGUGCCAGCAGCCGCGGUAAUACGUAGGGGGCAGGCGUUAUCCGGAUUUACUGGGUGUAAAGGGAGCGUAGACGGCAGCGCAAGUCUGAAGUGAAAUGCCGGGGCUUAACCCCGGAACUGCUUUGGAAACUGAGCAGCUAGAGUGCAGGAGAGGUAAGUGGAAUUCCUAGUGUAGCGGUGAAAUGCGUAGAUAUUAGGAGGAACACCAGUGGCGAAGGCGGCUUACUGGACUGUACCUGACGCUGAGGCGCGAAAGCGUGGGUAGCGAACGGGAUUAGAUACCCGAGUA